rnacentral:rRNA from 1 species
GACGAACGCUGGCGGCGUGCUUAACACAUGCAAGUCGAACGGAAAGGCCCUGCUUUUGUGGGGUGCUCGAGUGGCGAAGGGGUGAGUAACACGUGAGUACCCCGCCCUUGACUGUGGGAUAACUUCAGGAAACUGGGGCUAAUACCGGAUAGGAGCUCCUGCGGCAUGGGGGGGGUUGGAAAGUUUCGGCGGUUGGGGAUGGACUCGCGGCUUAUCAGCUUGUUGGUGGGGUAGUGGCCUACCAAGGCUUUGACGGGUGGCCGGCCUGGGUGGGUGACCGGCCACAUUGGGCCUGGGAUACGGCCCAGACUCCUACGGGAGGCAGCGGUGGGGAAUAUUGCACAAUGGGGGGAAGCCUGAUGCGGCAACGCCGCGUGCGGGAUGCCGGCCUUCGGGUUGUAAACCGCUUUCGCCUGUGCCGAAGCGUGAGUGACGGUACUGGGUAAAGAAGCACCGGCUAACUACGUG